AGUACGAAACGAAUAAAAAAUAACUAAAGCUUAUCCUCGACCUUUCGUUCUCACCCACAGCCUAGCACCAUCUUGUCUUGCCCACGAGAGAAGCAAACUCAAGAUCCACAUCGCCUAAUCGCCUUGCGUCAGUGCUUCUGCUUGCUGUCUGCCGCGGCUGCACGGAUGAGAGAAGUUGCAUCCUUCUGACUCUGUUGCUCGCCUUCAGACACCCGUCCGUCGCCUCUAACACCGGUGCGUUGUUUGGUCUUCCCUGUGAGUUCGCAGCCACCGCUAGCUGCGAGGAGGCGCACAAAAAAGACGUCGAGGCUGCCGCUGUCCCACAUGUAUUUGUAUAUUUUCUUCAUGGUCGAGAUUUGCAGGUACCUCGUGGAGUAGAGGAACUGUUCAGGUUUGAGCUAGGCUUAAUCUUCAAAUUAUUCUCUGUCUUCUGCCAAUUUCUCAGCUGUUUGUGUACAAAUACUAUAAGUUUCUUCAGAUUCUGCAGCUCGAGCGAGUAUACAAUUGUAAACUCGUGUUAAGUUACUGAAGCGAUUCGAUAACUGGACUUUAGGAUCAUCAUGCAUGUAUCUUUAGUGCAUGAGAGCAUAGGAUUCCAGCAAAUUCAAAUUUCUUGCAGCUGCACCUCACUUUUAACUCCAAAGGUGUGCUCUGUGUUGCUUUGAAGUCACUUGUAACUUCUUCAUAUCGUUUGUCCCUAAGCAGACUGUCAAAGUGCUCAAAAAAAGUUUUAUUCAAUGGAUGCAUCCAGGUUCUAGGAGAGAAUCAUGAGUAAACUUGUUGGCAGGAUUUAAAAUUGAAAAACAUAUCAUUCACCUGUUCACCCUCAAGAUGGGACUCUACGCCAGGAUGGUCCUCGAAACCAUCCGCUUCUCUAGCACCAGGGCGCAUCAUCGGCAGGCGUUGAGUUGAGAGAUUAGGGGAGCAAAAACUUUAUUAUUGUAGGCGUUGAUUUGAGAGAAUGAAUACAUCAUGAUGUGUGGGGAAAAGAAAGGAUGAGAAAAGGCGGGAAUGGUAAUAUAUUAUAUUUCUCUUUCCCGCUGUUUUUUUGCUUAUGGAUAUGAUUGGACGUCUGAUUUUUUUUC